rnacentral:rRNA from 1 species
GGAGGGUGCAAGCGUUGUUCGGAAUUACUGGGCGUAAAGCGCGUGUAGGCGGCUAGCUAAGUCUGAUGUGAAAGCCCGGGGCUCACCCCCGGAAGUGCAUUGGAAACUGGCGAGCUCGAGUCCCGGAGAGGAGGGUGGAAUUCCUGGUGUAGCGGUGAAAUGCGUAGAUAUCAGGAGGAACACCGGUGGCGAAGGCGGCCCUCUGGACGGUGACUGACGCUGAGACGCGAAAGCGUGGGGAGCAAACAGGAUUAGAUACCCUGGUAGUCCACGCUGUAAACGAUGAGCACUAGGUGUCGCGGGUAUUGACCCCUGCGGUGCCGUCGCUAACGCAUUAAGUGCUCCGCCUGGGGACUACGGCCGCAAGGCUAAA